rnacentral:rRNA from 1 species
GACGAGCCUCACAAACGUUAUUCGGAAUUACUGGGCUUAAAGGGUGCGUAGGCGGCGCGGAAAGUUGGGUGUGAAAUCCCUCGGCUCAACCGAGGAACUGCGCCCAAAACUAGCGUGCUCGAGGAAGAUAGAGGUGAGCGGAACUUACGGUGGAGCGGUGAAAUGCGUUGAUAUCGUAAGGAACACCCGUGGCGAAAGCGGCUCACUGGGUCUUUUCUGACGCUGAUGCACGAAAGCUAGGGGAGCAAACGGG